rnacentral:misc_RNA from 1 species
GUAAGAUUUGGUGUGCCAGCCAGACCUGACUACAGAGCCGCGCUGUCAGAUCCUCCACGAUUCAACGUCAAGAGACUCACAGCUGGGGAAUGACCUCUUCUCCCAUGCCUGUUUGGUAUCUGCUAGCCCUCGCCCUGUCGUCUGUUGUCUACGUCACUCAGUCACUUCCAGUACAAGACGUUAAAGACUUGAAUGACGUCAUCAUCAAUCAAGAUGACAACACCUGUAAAGCCGACUUUGUUGAAAAAUUCGUCAGGUUAAUGUCUGGACCACUUGGCACUGAAGCAGAUGCCCUUUUAGCAUCAGUGAUGAAACUUUUGUCGAAGAAUGACCGUGUUAAUUUUGCAGGAACGGCUGUGUCUCAAAACAGUCUACCCAAACUCACAGAUGGGAAACCUAGUUUUUCUCAGAAACGUUUGAAGCCUGAUUUCAAUCCGACCGGUUGGCGACGGAAGCGUGACGUUGGAAGAAGGAUGAAAAUACGACGGGCACUGCAGGGCUUAUAUGACAUGCUAGAGAGCAGUGAUGUGGUCAAUAUAGCGAGUCAGUCAUGGCUGAAGAGAGACAGGUCACAGGAUAGAGCCAUGUUCAAUCCUACAGGCUGGUGACAGCCAUAUUCUCUCAAUACUUUGUCCGCUGGUGCGUUCAUUGAUAUAUGGUAAUAAAGGAUGCAAGGAUGCAA